rnacentral:rRNA from 1 species
AGCGAACGCUGGCGGCAGGCCUAACACAUGCAAGUCGAACGAAGUCUUCGGACUUAGUGGCGGACGGGUGAGUAACACGUGGGAACGUGCCUUUAGGUUCGGAAUAACUCAGGGAAACUUGUGCUAAUACCGAAUGUGCCCUUCGGGGGAAAGAUUUAUCGCGUUUAGAGCGGCCCGCGGCUGAUUAGCUAGUUGGUGAGGUAAAGGCUCACCAAGGCGACGAUCAGUAGCUGGUCUGAGAGGAUGAUCAGCCACAUUGGGACUGAGACACGGCCCAAACUCCUACGGGAGGCAGCAGUGGGGAAUCUUGCGCAAUGGGCGGAAGCCUGACGCAGCCAUGCCGCGUGAAUGAUGAAGGUCUUAGGAUUGUAAAAUUCUUUCACCGGGGACGAUAAUGACGGUACCCGGAGAAGAAGCCCCGGCUAACUUCGUGCCAGCCGCCGCGGUAACAC